CACAACUCUGCUCACUGGCUGCAAAUUGCCUGAAGAUUUUGUGCGUGUGAAAUAAAUGCCUCGCUCUCGCCUCAAAUUUCCCUGACCCACGACUGCAUUGCCUCAGAAGGCGCACUUACAAGGAAUUCCAGAAUAAAAAAGUGGAGAGAAUUGUGAAGAAGCAAUACCUGAAGAUAAAUUAUGGUUAAUUUUCCAAGUAAUCAAACCAGUCAGUCCUAAAGGAGAUCAACCCUGAAUAUUCAUCUGAAGGACUGAUGCUGAAGCACCAACACUUUGGCC
ensembl:lncRNA